rnacentral:rRNA from 1 species
UAUAAAAUAUUUUGAAUAUUUAUAUAACAUUAACAUAAUUCAUAUUACUAUAUUUUUUAGUAUAUGAAAUUUUACUUUGAGAAAAUUAGAGUGCUUAAAGCAGGCAUAAGCCUUGAAUACUCCAGCAUGGAAUAAUAUUAAAGAUUUUUAUCUUUUUUAUUGGUUUUAAGAUAAGAAUAAUGAUUAAUAGGGACAGUUGGGGGCAUUUGUAUUUAACAGUCAGAGGUGAAAUUCUUAGAUUUGUUAAAGACAAACUAAUGCGAAAGCAUUUGCCAAGGAUGUUUUCAUUAAUCAAGAACGAAA